ensembl:snRNA U6 U6 spliceosomal RNA
GUGCUGGCUUCGGCAGCACACAUACUAAAAUUGGAACGAUACGGGGGAUUAGCAUGGCCCCGGUGCAAGGAUGACCCACAAAUUCGUGAAGCAUUCCAUAUUUAA